rnacentral:rRNA from 1 species
GACGAACGCUGUCGGCGUGCUUAACACAUGCAAGUCGAACGGAAAGGCCCUGCUUUUGUGGGGUGCUCGAGUGGCGAACGGGUGAGUAACACGUGAGUAACCUGCCCUUGACUUUGGGAUAACUUCAGGAAACUGGGGCUAAUACCGGAUAGGAGCUCCUGCUGCAUGGUGGGGGUUGGAAAGUUUCGGCGGUUGGGGAUGGACUCGCGGCUUAUCAGCUUGUUGGUGGGGUAGUGGCUUACCAAGGCUUUGACGGGUAGCCGGCCUGAGAGGGUGACCGGCCACAUUGGGACUGAGAUACGGCCCAGACUCCUACGGGAGGCAGCAGUGGGGAAUAUUGCACAAUGGGCGGAAGCCUGAUGCAGCAACGCCGCGUGCGGGAUGACGGCCUUCGGGUUGUAAACCGCUUUCGCCUGUGACGAAGCGUGAGUGACGGUAAUGGGUAAAGAAGCACCGGCUAACUACGUGCCAGCAGCCGCGGUGAUACGUAGGGUGCGAGCGUUGUCCGGAUUUAUUGGGCGUAAAGGGCUCGUAGGUGGUUGAUCGCGUCGGAAGUGUAAUCUUGGGGCUUAACCCUGAGCGUGCUUUCGAUACGGGUUGACUUGAGGAAGGUAGGGGAGAAUGGAAUUCCUGGUGGAGCGGUGGAAUGCGCAGAUAUCAGGAGGAACACCAGUGGCGAAGGCGGUUCUCUGGGCCUUUCCUGACGCUGAGGAGCGAAAGCGUGGGGAGCGAACAGGCUUAGAUACCCUGGUAGUCCACGCUGUAAACGGUGGGUACUAGGUGUGGGGUCCAUUCCACGGGUUCCGUGCCGUAGCUAACGCUUUAAGUACCCCGCCUGGGGAGUACGGCCGCAAGGCUAAAACUCAAAGGAAUUGACGGGGCCCCGCACAAGCGGCGGAGCAUGCGGAUUAAUUCGAUGCAACGCGUAGAACCUUACCUGGGUUUGACAUGGAUCGGGAGUGCUCAGAGAUGGGUGUGCCUCUUUUGGGGUCGGUUCACAGGUGGUGCAUGGCUGUCGCCAGCUCGUGUCGUGAGAUGUUGGGUUAAGUCCCGCAACGAGCGCAACCCUUGUUCACUGUUGCCAGCACGUUAUGGUGGGGACUCAGUGGAGACCGCCGGGGUCAACUCGGAGGAAGGUGGGGAUGACGUCAAGUCAUCAUGCCCCUUAUGUCCAGGGCUUCACGCAUGCUACAAUGGCUGGUACAGAGAGUGGCGAGCCUGUGAGGGUGAGCGAAUCUCGGAAAGCCGGUCUCAGUUCGGAUUGGGGUCUGCAACUCGACCUCAUGAAGUCGGAGUCGCUAGUAAUCGCAGAUCAGCAACGCUGCGGUGAAUACGUUCCCGGG